rnacentral:rRNA from 1 species
AACGAACGCUGGCGGAAUGCUUUACACAUGCAAGUCGAACGGCAGCACGGACUUCGGUCUGGUGGCGAGUGGCGAACGGGUGAGUAAUGUAUCGGAACGUGCCCAGUCGUGGGGGAUAACGUAGUGAAAAUUACGCUAAUACCGCAUACGAUCUAUGGAUGAAAGCGGGGGAUCGCAAGACCUCGCGCGAUUGGAGCGGCCGAUAUCAGAUUAGGUAGUUGGUGGGGUAAAGGCCCACCAAGCCAACGAUCUGUAGCUGGUCUGAGAGGACGACCAGCCACACUGGAACUGAGACACGGUCCAGACUCCUACGGGAGGCAGCAGUGGGGAAUUUUGGACAAUGGGCGAAAGCCUGAUUCAGCCAUUCCGCGUGCAGGAUGAAGGCCCUCGGGUUGUAAACUGCUUUUGUACAGAACGAAAAGGUUUCUACUAAUACUAGGAGCUCAUGACGGUACUGUAAGAAUAAGCACCGGCUAACUACGUGCCAGCCGCCGCCGUAA